rnacentral:rRNA from 1 species
AUACGAAGGGUGCAAGCGUUACUCGGAAUUACUGGGCGUAAAGCGUGCGUAGGUGGUUGUUUAAGUCUGUCGUGAAAGCCCUGGGCUCAACCUGGGAAUGGCGAUGGAAACUGGGCGACUAGAGUGUGGCAGAGGGUAGUGGAAUUCCUGGUGUAGCAGUGAAACGCGUAGAGAUCAGGAGGAACAUCCGUGGCGAAGGCGACUGCCUGGGCCAACACUGACACUGAGGCACGAAAGCGUGGGGAGCAAACAGGAUUAGAUACCCUGGUAGUCCACGCCCUAAACGAUGCGAACUGGAUGUUGGGUGCAAUUUGGCACGCAGUAUCGAAGCUAACGCGUUAAGUUCGCCGCCUGGGGAGUACGGUCGCAAGACUGAAACUCAAAUGAAUUGACGGGG